rnacentral:rRNA from 1 species
CCUACGGGAGGCAGCAGUGGGGGAUAUUGCACAAUGGGGGAAACCCUGAUGCAGCCACGCCGCGUGUGGGAAGAAGGUUUUCGGAUUGUAAACCACCGUUCUUGGUGGAGAUAAUGACGGUCACCACGGAGUAUGCUCCUGCUAACUACGUGCCCGCCGCCUCGGUACUACGUAGGGGGCAAGCGUUGGCCGGAUUUACUGGGUGUAAAGGGUGCGUAGGCGGUCUGGCAAGUCAGACGUGAAAACCACAGGCGCAACCUGUGGCCUGCGUUGGAAACGGUGGGGCUUGAGGGAAGUAGAGGUAGGCGGAAGUCCCGGUGUAGCGGGGAAAUGCGUAGAGAUCGGGAGGAACACCAGUGGCGAAGGCGGCCUCUGGGCUUUAACUGACGCUGAGGCACGAAAUCAUGGGUAGCAAACAGGAUUAGAUACCCCAGUAGUC